rnacentral:rRNA from 1 species
AUUGAACGCUGGCGGAAUGCUUUACACAUGCAAGUCGAACGGCAGCACGGACUUCGGUCUGGUGGCGAGUGGCGAACGGGUGAGUAAUACAUCGGAACGUGCCCAGUCGUGGGGGAUAACGUAGCGAAAGCUACGCUAAUACCGCAUACGAUCUAAGGAUGAAAGCGGGGGAUCGCAAGACCUCGCGCGAUUGGAGCGGCCGAUGGCAGAUUAGGUAGUUGGUGGGGUAAAGGCCUACCAAGCCGACGAUCUGUAGCUGGUCUGAGAGGACGACAAGCCACACGGGGACUGAGACACGGCCCAGACUCCUACGGGAGGCAGCAGUGGGGAAUUUUGGACAAUGGGCGCAAGCCUGAUCCAGCCAUUCCGCGUGCAGGAUGAAGGCCCUCGGGUUGUAAACUGCUUUUGUACGGAACGAAAAGGCUCUGGUUAAUACCCGGGGCUCAUGACGGUACCGUAAGAAUAAGCACCGGCUAACUACGUGCCAGCCGCCGCGGUAA